UAUUAUUAUUAUUAUUAUUAUUAUUAUUAUGAUUAUGAUUAUGAUUAUGAUUAUGAUUAUUCUAAUGCUAUUAACAGCAUUAAUACUAAUAAAGAUGAAAUCUAACACUUUCUGAAAAAUCAGACAAGGUUAAAUGGCUAAGAUAAUAGGACUAGGAGUGGAGUCCUUGGUGACUAUUCUUGUGUACACAAAAUUGAUAAACUAAAAUCACAAUGUAUGUGGAUGUAUGUGCAAGCCAUGUUGGCAUCAAUGGAAAAUUUUCCAAAGGCCUUCCUUAACAUUUAAUAAUCUAGUCACUUUUCCAUGACCUAGAACUCGCUUGAUUUAUCACAAUGAUUGCAAAAUAAUAAAUUGUGAUAUUAUUAUAGGGUGAUCAUGUAUGGGAGCAAAUGUUCUAUGUGUUUCAGCAUUACCAUACCUCUCCCCCCUUUCCAUGUACACUUGUAGCUUGAAAUUAUUUGGGGGACUAUUGUGUUGACAGGAAUAAUUAGAUAUUCCAGUUGAUAAUAACCUUUACUAUAGGGAAUAAGUACCACCCCACCUUAUAACCCUCCAACUGCAAGUUUGGCUGUAAAAAUGGACAGGAAGUUAUCUGGCCUCAAGAUUUUAAAGUGAGGAAACCAAAAACUAUAUAAAAAGAUUACAAAACAAUCUGAAAUAGGGUGCCUAGUCUUCCAGACUGCUUGCCAUAUAUGUAAGUGUACAUGUUGAGUUAGGUUUAUUUUUGUAAUGUCUUAUUUUGAUGGUUCAUUAGUUUUGCAAUAGUGGAAUUCAUGGAUAAAGGAACCUUCACCACAUUCUGCUUUAAGGCCAACAAGAUGGCUGCAGAAAUUCAUGGGUUACUUCAGAAAACCUUUGGUGACAGAGCUGGCUUUAGGAAGCUAUUAGGGACAGCACUAUGGCCCACAUCAGAACAUUUUCUUGAUAAAGUCGUUUCAAGUAGGGCUAAAAGGUGUAAGAAUUAUUUCAAGAAUGUUGAUUGACAAUCAGAAGGCACAUCAUGUUCAAGUUUGCAGAGAGAUCAGAAAUCAAGUAAAAAUGGCACCUACUCAUAUAGCUCUAAGAAGAGUUUCUGGCAAGGAUUAGGAAGAAAGAAUGGCAUACAGAAUUCAAGAAUCUUCUUCAAUUCUGAAGUUUUUGAUGUGUAAUUAACAUGAAAUAAACCAGAGUAUUA